CGACCCUCUAACAGCUGUUUGC
rnacentral:siRNA from 1 species